UUAGGCCAAAGAAACAGAAGCUUAGGAUCACGCGAAAACACGUACGUGAAUGUCCAUAGCGGGGGUAUCUGCAGCAGCCUAGGACUGGGGACGAGCAGCGUGUCCUUCAGCGGGUGAAUGUUUGAAGCAACCGGUCGACCCACACCAAGGACCGUAGCUAGCAAUACGAAGGAAGAACUGACUAUGGAUACACGCAACCAUCUGGAUGGAUCUCAAGGGCAUGAUGAGAGUGAAGGGAAAAAAGCCCACCCGGAGUCACUGAGACCUACUGCAUACCGCAUCAUGGUUCCAUUUACCGAAGUGCUCAAAUGACCAACUUGUACACGAGCGAGCACACAACACUGGUGGUCGCGGGGUGGGAGGGAGCAGAGGGGAGGAGGCUGUGGUUACGAAAGGUUAACAGGAGGGGUCCUUGGGAGGGAACCAACUGGACGCGGAUGCCCGUGGGAGUCGCCUGAAUCUACACGCGUGGCAAAAGUGCAGAGCUACGCGCGGCCGCACACGCGGGUGCGGCACACACGGAGCAGCUCUCGGACGGCAGCAAUGCCAAAGCCGGGUGUGCGAUUGCACUAGAUGUGCACCCUGCCGGUCCCAGGGAACUGCGGGAGGCGCCCCGGCGCUUCUCCGGAACUCCCCGUGAGGUCCGUCACUUCAAGAUCCAAGUUCCAGCCAAAAGCACACAAGCAGGGCUUGGCGUGGACGGACACGACGACUUGCGCGACUCUGCACGCAGACGUCCCGCUCGUCCCGGCGGGACGUCUAGGCGUCGCGCGGCCCACCGGGCCCGACCGCUAGAAAGGAGCGCGCGGGAGCCGAGCCCAGAGGGGCGCGCAGGCGACCGGCUUGUUUUGAUUGGGCAGGGGACACGUCCGUCAGGCCGCGGGGCCGGGGCUUCCGCGGGCGGCCUGGGAGCGGCCCCGUCCUGAGCCGAGCUGGGGCAUUGGCGGAGCUAGCCGGAAGGGGUGGGCAGGAAGGCGGUGCCCCGCGACCUGUGGGGCGGGGCUUCCUGUGGCGCGCUGAGGGACAGGAGGAGACCGGUGCCGGGGCGGUGAGGGUGGGCGCGGCGUGCCCGGACGACGCCCCGGCCUUCUGGACACCGCCCUCCAUCCCUGAGCUCCGCCCUCCGUCCCUGGGCUCCGCCCCCCGCCUCUCCGGGUCCUGGCCCCUGCCAGAGUCUCCGUUCCCCGAGGCCUGGGGACCUGUGCGUUCCGCCGGGGCGAGGCCGACCUGACGGUGUCUGGCCCUCUAGACGGCCAGGGCCAGUGUAUCGGGGCCCCCGGGGGCCUAGUGAGGGGAGAAGGGGGCGGCGGCCCCACCGGGAUGACCAAGGGCAUAGUCACCGCGUCUGCAGCCCCUCCCCGCCCUGGCCUCGGAGAGCGGCCUUGCUGUGCGGUCCGGGGCGCAUCCAGCCUCCCGGGGACCGGAUCGCGGCACCCCCGCCCCCCUCCCCCCCCCUCCCACCCCUUCCUUGCCCGGCGCGCUGUGUGUUCCAGCGACCCUGAGUGCGUCUGGGACAGUUCUCUGUAAAGCAUGGAUCCCACCUCCACACACACACAGGCCUAGUACCCGGUACCCGGGAAAAGGUGUGGUCCCCCUGGGAGAGAGUCCUGCCCGAGUCACCCUGUUCUCCAGGACCAGCUGUGGUUGUCCCUGCCUGUCACCUGGGGAGGUCACAAGCAAGGGCGGCCCCGCAGAGGCAGAGAAAGCUCGUGGCUUCUCUACAAGUGGGUGCCAUCAGGAACCAUCCGUCCCCGUGGUUCUCAGGCUGGACGGCCGCGUGGGAACACCUGGAGGGCUUGUUCAACCUCGCGACGCCGGACUCCACCCCGGAGUCUCUGAUCUUGCAGAUCUGCGGUGGGGCCUGAGAACUUGUGACUCUAACAAGCUCCGGGCUGACUGACGCUGCUGCCACCACCACGGGUCUGGGACCCCCUCUGUGAGGAGCACUGCUGCGGAGACCUGAGACUCACUCCUAGGUCACACGGGUCCACCUGGAGCAGUGCUGGAGGGGACGACACAGGAGGAGCGUCCUGGCUCCUGAACCUGGGUGCGGGCGUCCUGGUCUCACAGGGCCCCUCAGGAACACGUCCUUUGUCUAAAGGGGGGGGGGGGUGGCACGUUCCGGCCCGCGGACCAAGGCAGGCAGGGCCCGCAUUUGUAUGGGCAGAGGGUGGCUCUUCGUCUUUAAAGGCUUGCAGACAAAACGCACAAAGAGCCAGAGACAGGAAGAAGAAUAUGGGACCGGGUUCCCGGGCGGCCCACGCAGCCCAAGAGGGGCGCUUUCUGCCCUUUGCGGGGCAGCGUGCAGCCCUGGCAGCCGUCCCGAC